UACGUAGGGUGCAAGCGUUUAAUCGGAAUUACUGGGCGUAAAGCGUGCGCAGGCGGUUGUGCAAGACAGAUGUGAAAUCCCCGGGCUUAACCUGGGAACUGCAUUUGUGACUGCACGGCUAGAGUGUGUCAGAGGGGGGUAGAAUUCCACGUGUAGCAGUGAAAUGCGUAGAUAUGUGGAGGAAUACCGAUGGCGAAGGCAGCCCCCUGGGAUAACACUGACGCUCAUGCACGAAAGCGUGGGGAGCAAACAGG
rnacentral:rRNA from 1 species